UACGAAGGGUGCAAGCGUUACUCGGAAUUACUGGGCGUAAAGCGUGCGUAGGCGGUUUGUUAAGUCCGCUGUGAAAGCCCUGGGCUCAACCUGGGAAUUGCAGUGGAUACUGGCAAGCUAGAGUGCGGUAGAGGAUGGUGGAAUUCCCGGUGUAGUGGUGGAAUGCGUAGAUAUCGGGAGGAACACCAGUGGCGAAGGCGGUUGCCUGGGGCUUUGCUGACGCUGAUGCGCGAAAGCGUGGGGAGCGAUCCGG
rnacentral:rRNA from 1 species